UGUACUUGUUGAUAUUAUUAAACAACACACUGGGUACAAUAAUAUUAUUUAAGAUAACAGUUUAAUGUAUUUUUACUUAUGUUAGUAUAGUACAAGGUCAAAGGGACACAUUCCUUUUACGAUUAUGUUGUUUUACUCAAUGCAGCCUAUUGUAUACAUGUUUUCAGUUUAGUCGUAGUUUCACCGUCUAUCGAGUAAAGUGACCCGUUGCCGUUGUACAUCUCUUAUAUUAUAUGUUUUGACAUUUUAUAUUAAAUACUAUUAUAUUACGAAUAA